CAGUCGCCGCGGGAAUACGAAGGGUGCAAGCGUUACUCGGAAUUACUGGGCUUAAAGCGUGCGUAGGUGGUGGUUUAAGUCCGUUGUGAAAGCCCUGGGCUCAACCUGGGAAUUGCAGUGGAUACUGGGUCACUAGAGUGUGGUAGAGGAUAGUGGAAUUUCCGGUGUAGCAGUGAAAUGCGUAGAGAUCGGAAGGAACAUCUGUGGCGAAGGCGACUAUCUGGGCCAACACUGACACUGAGGCACGAAAGCGUGGGGAGCAAACAGGAUUAGAUACCCCGGUAGUCCCUGUCUCUUAUAC
rnacentral:rRNA from 1 species